GCUGCUGGGAACUGAGUACCCUUGGUUAGAAGCUGACAGUAAGCCCGGUUACAAGCUUAGGGCUUGUAAGCCUGGAAUUGCCUGGGGUUGCAACCUGGAGCAACAUGCCAACAAACACUUAUUGAUUAUCUGCUUGCCAAACACUGUCGUGGAUGCUGAGAACCCAGGAAUAAGACAUAGUCACUGGCCCUCGCAUGCCAGCCUCAAGGGGUGAGGUAAGGCCAUCUGUGGCUCGGAGGAGAGUAAUUUACCCAAGGUCGCAUAUCUAUAAUUGCCUCUAAAGGCUUGGCACAGAGGAAAGACUAACACAAGGAGAAUAUCCCAGCAUCUCUGAAAGCCUCCCAAGGAGGAAUAUUGAGGUGAAAACACCAGGGCACACGAGAAGAUUCGGAGUCCAGAAGGCUGGCCACACCUCUGGCUGAUUGCUCCGUGGAAAAAGCAUAGCUUGGGGUCCCCUGUAGCCUCCACGAGUGCCCCCUCCUGUGGGAGCCCAGUAUUUCUACGCCUGGAGAGAAAGCGUCCUGGACCAUCCCAGGGGGCCGGGAGGCUUGCAUGCGUCUGGGGUCAGAGGCAGGUGUGGGAACCAUUCCUGGCCUGUCCCACCACUCCCCUGACCUCAUGGGAAAUUCAGAGUUUGUCUGGGGGAGUGCUGCUGGUAGAAGUGGUGGGGGGCGUCUGUCUUGUGGAACGAGCUUUGCCAGCGAUUUUGAUGUAGGAGGUCUGUGGGCCAUGUUUUGAGAACCUGUGCUUUCCCAGCCGACACAGCUUCCAUUGGUGCCACAGUGACACUUGACACUUCUCAGCCAUUUGGAGCCUCAGGACAUUCUCGAGACACGAAUCUAUGCUGAAAUCCGUAGCAUUCUUCCGGGGACUCAUCACUGUGGAAUUAUGGAUGCCCCCAUUAAGGCCCCAGGAGCUGGGCUGUGCAGGGAACAGUGUCUUGACCGAGAAUAGUGUCCUCUUUCCUUUGUCCAAAGCCCAGAGUGGGUGGCCUGGGCUUGCCCAGAGGUGGACAAGCAGGGGCUCAGAGCAGGAAGGGUAACCCUGCAGGAUUAACAAUCUCCCCGGAAGCCUGGAUUCCAAGGAGAAAUUUGAGCAUUGGGCCUUUCUGCCCGGCCUUUUGGGCACACCAGCCAGCACCUCUGAUGUCCCUGGGGGCUGAGACCCUGGGCCUCCCCCUCCUCCCUUCCCCCAUACUGGGUGCUCUACUCUGGACACAGUUAGCCAGAACCCUCAGGACAAAGAGGCUUCCUUUGAGAAACACAUGCAGGGAGGGGGAAGAGGUCUGUGUCUACACAGCACUUCGCGAUGUUCUGAAAAGGAAAACA